UGGGGAAUAUUGCACAAUGGGGGAAACCCUGAUGCAGCGACGCCGCGUGAACGAAGAAGGUAUUCGUAUCGUAAAGUUCUGUCCUAUGGGAAGAUAAUGACAGUACCAUAGAAGAAAGCUCCGGCUAAAUACGUGCCAGCAGCCGCGGUAAUACGUAUGGAGCGAGCGUUGUCCGGAAUUAUUGGGCGUAAAGGGUACGCAGGCGGUUUAAUAAGUCGAAUGUUAAAGAUCGGGGCUCAACCCCGCAAAGCAUUGGAAACUGAUAAACUUGAGUAGUGGAGAGGAAAGUGGAAUUCCUAGUGUAGUGAUGAAAUACGUAGAUAUUAGGAGGAAUACCAGUAGCGAAGGCGACUUUCUGGACACAAACUGACGCUGAGGUACGAAAGCGUGGGGAGCAAACAGG
rnacentral:rRNA from 1 species